rnacentral:rRNA from 1 species
GAGUUUGAUCAUGGCUCAGGACGAACGCUGGCGGCGUGCCUAACACAUGCAAGUCGAGCGAAUGAAGGAAGGAGCUUGCUCCUUCUGGAUUUAGCGGCGGACGGGUGAGUAACACGUGGGUAACCUGCCUCAAAAUGGGGGAUAGCCUUUCGAAAGGAAGAUUAAUACCGCAUAACAUUACACUUUCGCAUGAAAGAGUAAUCAAAGGAGUAAUCCGAUUUGAGAUGGACCCGCGGCGCAUUAGCUAGUUGGUGAGGUAACGGCUCACCAAGGCCACGAUGCGUAGCCGACCUGAGAGGGUGAUCGGCCACAUUGGAACUGAGAGACGGUCCAGACUCCUACGGGAGGCAGCAGUGGGGAAUAUUGCACAAUGGGCGAAAGCCUGAUGCAGCAACGCCGCGUGAGUGAUGACGGCCUUCGGGUUGUAAAGCUCUUUGAUUGGGGACGAUAAUGACGGUACCCAAAGAACAAGCCACGGCUAACUACGUGCCAGCAGCCGCGGUAAUACGUAGGUGGCAAGCGUUGUCCGGAUUUACUGGGCGUAAAGGAUGCGUAGGUGGAUAUAUAAGUGAGAUGUGAAAUACCCGAACUCAACUUGGG